GUCAUUGAAAAUAAGAAUUUGUUCUUAACUGACUUGCCUAGUUAAAAAAGGUAAAAUAAAUAAAAAUUAUUCUCACCCCUCCACAGACUUUUAUAAGUGGUUCCAUUCAAAUAGUAUCAAGAAUCAGCAUAUCCUUUCUUCAGGUCUAUCAGGUCUAGCUAUGCAGGUAUGGAUCCAUCCAGUCUAAAUGGAUAUUUUAACACCAGUCUUUAAUUUGUCCUUAAAGGGGUAGUUCAAUGUGAAGUUUGAUUUCCUUUUUAAAUAUUAUUUUAUUGGUAUGUACAUAACAUUUCCAUACAACUUUUUUUACUUGUACAGUUUAGCUGAACGCAACAUGUUUGAGCGAUCCCGUCCUUCUGCUGAACAUGAUGAAUAUUCUCUUUGGAAUCUCGUUCGUCUGAACUCCUGUUGAGAAAAGGAAUAGCUGACUUCAGCAGAGGGCUACGUAACCUGUCAUAAAGGCUACAUAUGUAAUGUCUAACUACCUCCAUGUGCCUGCCUGGUAUCUGGUCCCCACCCAGACACCAGGCAGGUGAAGCUUUUGCCUUAGGUUUCCUCUGUAUGUGGCUGAACAGGGAGUCGUGAUGCCAACUAGACUGGUCCUGAUGGUGGUACCAGACUGGUCACUAGAAGAUGCCUGUUACUGAACUACCACAAGGUUUCUGCCCCCCUGGUUGAGGUCCUAGUGUCUGCCGUGUUUGGAAAGAGCUCGUUGGCUGCUGAAGUGUUGCUGUGCUGGUGGAGCGGGAAGCUCUCCUGUUUGGUCAGCAAGGAAGUGAGACAUCUUGUUGGAACUGGGGAAAACCAGGCCAAGUCAAUUCAACCCUGUGACUGUGUUUUGAUGUAUAAAUAAAUCUACAAAU